GGCGAGUGGCGAACGGGUGAGUAAUGUAUCGGAACGUACCUUUCAGUGGGGGAUAACGUAGCGAAAGUUACGCUAAUACCGCAUAUUCUGUGAGCAGGAAAGCAGGGGAUCGCAAGACCUUGCGCUGAUUGAGCGGCCGAUAUCAGAUUAGCUAGUUGGUGAGGUAAAGGCUCACCAAGGCGACGAUCUGUAGCGGGUCUGAGAGGAUGAUCCGCCACACUGGAACUGAGACACGGUCCAGACUCCUACGGGAGGCAGCAGUGGGGAAUUUUGGACAAUGGGGGCAACCCUGAUCCAGCCAUGCCGCGUGAGUGAAGAAGGCCUUCGGGUUGUAAAGCUCUUUCAGCCGGGAAGAAAUCACAUGGGUUAAUACCCUGUGUGGAUGACGGUACCGGAAUAAGAAGCACCGGCUAACUACGUGCCAGCAGCCGCGGUAAUACGUAGGGUGCGAGCGUUAAUCGGAAUUACUGGGCGUAAAGCGUGCGCAGGCGGUUUGUUAAGAUAGGCGUGAAAUCCCCGGGCUCAACCUGGGAACUGCGUUUAUGACUGGCAGGCUAGAGUAUGGCAGAGGGGGGUGGAAUUCCACGUGUAGCAGUGAAAUGCGUAGAGAUGUGGAGGAACACCGAUGGCGAAGGCAGCCCCCUGGGCCAAUACUGACGCUCAUGCACGAAAGCGUGGGUAGCAAACAGGAUUAGAUACCCUGGUAGUCCACGCCCUAAACGAUGUCAACUAGGUGUUGGGUGGGUAAAACCAUUUAGUACCGGAGCUAACGCGUGAAGUUGACCGCCUGGGGAGUACGGCCGCAAGGUUAAAACUCAAAGGAAUUGACGGGGACCCGCACAAGCGGUGGAUGAUGUGGAUUAAUUCGAUGCAACGCGAAAAACCUUACCUACCCUUGACAUGUCCAGAAGCUCUUAGAGAUUUGAGUGUGCCCGAAAGGGAACUGGAACACAGGUGCUGCAUGGCUGUCGUCAGCUCGUGUCGUGAGAUGUUGGGUUAAGUCCCGCAACGAGCGCAACCCUUGUCGUUAAUUGCCAUCAUUCAGUUGGGCACUUUAACGAGACUGCCGGUGACAAACCGGAGGAAGGUGGGGAUGACGUCAAGUCCUCAUGGCCCUUAUGGGUAGGGCUUCACACGUCAUACAAUGGUCGGUACAAAGGGUUGCCAACCCGCGAGGGGGAGCUAAUCCCAGAAAGCCGAUCGUAGUCCGGAUCGUAGGCUGCAACUCGCCUGCGUGAAGUCGGAAUCGCUAGUAAUCGUGGAUCAGCAUGUCACGGUGAAUACGUUCCCGGGUCUUGUACACACCGCCCGUCACACCAUGGGAGCGGGUUCCGCCAGAAGUAGGUAGCCUAACCGCAAGGAGGGCG
rnacentral:rRNA from 1 species